AUACUUACCUGGCGUAGGGGUUACAGUGAUCAUGAAGGCUGUUCCCCCAGCAUGAGUCCUUAUCAUUGCACUUCGAUAGGGAUGACUGCUGCGAUUAUUCAGCAUAUGAAUAACUCGUUCGCGCAAUUUUUGGUAGCAGGGGCUUGCGUUCGCGCUUGCCCCUA
rnacentral:snRNA from 1 species